rnacentral:lncRNA from 10 species
AUGAGAUCUGAUGGUUUUAUAAGUGGCUUCCGCUUUCACUUGGCUCUCAUUCUCUCUUGUCUGCCGACAUGUAAGAUGUGCCUCUUGCCUUCUGCCCUGAUUGUGAGGCUUCCCCGGCCACGUGAAACUGGAAUAAAACCCCCAGUUGGUUUUAUGGAAAGGUUCCAUGAUGACUUCUGUUCACCUCCGAUCCUUUCAGUGCUGCCUGGAAACAUAGCCAGGUCCUGCAUACUGAUGGAAUUACUACACCAGCUUGUCUGUAAGACCCCAGUGGUGCCAGCUGGUCUGAAGGAUACCACUGACUCAGCUGAUCUGAGGGUCCCCACGAGAAGUGGACUCACUAAAGAAUGCAGUUUCUAUAUCGUGAUGAUAUCACCCUCCUUGCCCUGACCAAUCAACAACCCCAAUUUUCCAAUCCUUCACCCUCAAUGAUCCCCUUAAAAAUCCCAGCCAAGAACUCCUCGAGGAGAUGGGUUUGAGGAUGUCCUCCCAUCUCCUUGCUUGGCGCCCUGCAAAAAUUAAACUCUGUCUCUGCUGCAUCCCUGCUGUCUGUGUCAGUGGUCUGUUACUGUGCAGUGGACACAUG